rnacentral:lncRNA from 14 species
AAGGAAUGAGCUCAGAGGAGCGGCGUCGGGCUGGGGUCAUGCCCUGACGCCAACGGGAUGGGGAACGGGAAUGAGUCACUCCUGGAGGGCUGGCGAGGGCCCUGCUCCAGGCUGCGGCUGUGGCAGAGCCGAGGGCUGGAGCCGGAGCCUCUGCUCUUGGUGGUGCCAUGGAGCUGGGACCCAGCAUCCUCCAGCCCAGGAGCCCUGAGCAGAUCCACCAGGAUCUGCUCUUGCAGCCGUGGGCAUGGGAAUGGUGAUGGAGGGGUUGGGAGCUGUGAGGAGGGGGCCGGGAAGCAGCGCAUCCCCUGCUGCUGCUCCCUGUUCUGUGGAGCCAGGGUCACUGUGUGCUUUGGUGCUGGGAACAGAUGCUGCUUGUCUUGUGUGUCCUUCGGGAAGAGCUUCCUCCACCCCUGGAGAUGGGACCUGGGGGAGGAAGGAGAUAAAGGAACCCAGAACACAGCCUCAUUGUGCACCCGGGUCCUGUUCCCGUCAGCAUCCCAGCCACAAGAUGAGGAUGGGGAAGCCUCUUGGAUGCUUCUUCUCAGGACUGGUGGGGAGCAGGAGCACUGGGACCCCCCUUCCCCAUCCCAUGGGAGCUCCAAAGGAUGGGAGCAGCAUCCCCCUAUCAGGGCCUUGCCACAUAAAUGCCCACAGCCCUGAGUCCUGCGGGUGCAGGCAGCACCCUCCAGCCCUGGGUGCUGAUGCUGAGGGGAGGCUUUGCCGGUCCCAGGGGUGCUGGAGCCCGGGGUGGUGCUGGCAUUCCCGAUGCUGUGGCCAGCACAUAAAGGGAUGUUUGUUAUCCGGGCGCUCUGUGUUUUGCCGAGCAGAACAAUACAGAGAAAGAUGCUCACAAUGGGAAAUUGUGCUUCCUCCUCCCCUGCAUCCCUCGGGGAGGUGUUGGGGGGGGAGAACCGGACAAGAAAGUGGGAAGAGACGGAGACAGGUCCAGGAGCGCGGGCAUGGCCAUGGGACCGCAGGGGCACCGCGCUGCAGGGACGGUGCCAGCGCCAGGGCAGUGACAGGGCACCCAUCCCUGUGUCCCUGGGUCCUCUUUUCCCUCUUGACCUUCCCAGAGCCUUCAGCCCUGCCAUGGGGCGGCUGUGACGGAGCCGGGACGCGGCUGGAUGGGAACUGUGGCUUCCCAAAGGACACAGCUGGGGACGGCACCGUCCUGCCCCCGGCUCUGAGGAUGCACCAGCUUCUCCUGCUCAGCUCCCUCUGGCUCUCGGUGGUACCCCCAGCAUUGAGCAUCU